rnacentral:misc_RNA from 1 species
UUAAGUUCAGCGGGUAUUCCUACCUGAUCCGAGGUCAACCUUGUAAAAUGGUAAAGGAGACCGGCCCGGAAGGUCCUUGCAACUCGAUGCGUGCUCCUAAAAGCUCGUUGCACCGAGGGUCCCACGGACGCCGUCAUUGUCUUUGAGACCAGUUGUUCACACAACUUGGGUCCAACACCAAACCCGGGGUUUGAGGGAGG